rnacentral:misc_RNA from 1 species
GGUCAGUAUAUGCUUUUGUGGCGAGUGACUCAAUACACUUCUUUGUAAUGUGAAGUUCUUCAGCAUAGGGAAGACUCUGAUCACAUGUUUGAAGUGCCUUUAAAGAAUCGUUCCAAUUACCAAGGACUACUUGCUUAAAAAAGGUCUCAGUCUGCAUAAUUAGAUUGCCCUCCCCAUAAUCCUCGGUCAUUUCAAGAUGCUCAGCAGCACAACGGAGGUACACAACAUUUGAGGAGGUAAGCUCAAGUUUCACACCAUAACAGAACUUGGCCACAAGUUCAAANUGUUUUGGCCCCACCAGGAAUGUCAGGGAGAUUUGUCACACAUUUUUCAUCCCCUUCUUCCAAUGC